GCGGCGGGAUCUCUCUCCCUUUUACCGCCAUCGGAGCGGAGUGUCUUUCUUCCACCGGGACCUCAUCACUGCGCAGCCCCGCUUCACCACCUCCGGUCACACAGCGAAGCAUCACUCGAGACUCAGCUGAAAUGGCAGACAUCGACAACAAAGACCAGCCUGAGAUGGACCCGGCAGAUAUGGAGGAUGUUGAAGAUGUGGAAGAAGAGGAGACGGGAGAAGAUGAGAACAGCAAAGGUAAGUCUUACUGCAAAAAACGCAACGG